rnacentral:rRNA from 1 species
UACGUAGGGUGCGAGCGUUAAUCGAAAUUACUGGGCGUAAAGCGUGCGCAGGCGGUGAUGUAAGACAGAUGUGAAAUCCCCGGGCUCAACCUGGGAACUGCGUCCGAUACUGGCAGGCUUGAAUCCGGGAGAGGGAUGUGGAAUUCCAGGUGUAGCGGUGAAAUGCGUAGAGAUGCGGAGGAACACCGAUGGCGAAGGCAAUCCCCUGGGCCUGCACUGACGCUCAUGCACGAAAGCGUGGGGAGCAAACAGG